AGCCUUAGGAAAGGAUCUUAGGUUAGACCUGCCCAAUGUAAAUAAAUGAAUGGCCGCGGUACUUUGACCGUGCUAAGGUAGCGCAAUCAAUUGGCUUUUAAUUGGAGCCAGGUAUGAAUGGAGUUACGGGGUUUAGCUGUCUCUUAAUUAAUAUGUCGAAGUUACUAUUUAGGUGAAAAAGCCUAAAAAAUCAUGGGGGACGAGAAGACCCUUAGAGUUUUUCUUAAUUUGAUAUUCUUAUUUAUCAUAAUAGUUUGGUUGGGGCAACAGGGGAUCAUUUAACAUCCCUAUAGUAAAUUAAUCGAUUAUAAUAAAUGUAAAUAAACUACCUUAGGGAUAACAGCAUAAUUUUAUAAAUAAGUUUGUGACCUCGAUGUUGGACUAGGAAACUAAUUGGCUAGCCGCUUUUUAGGUAAGUUCUGUUCGAACUAUUAUCUCC
rnacentral:rRNA from 1 species